GCAUAAUGCGACAUCAUAUUUGAAGAGAAUUAGAAGACAAGAUGCCGUUGGAAUGCUAACAAUUGCAAAGUUUUUUAAAAAUGCAAAACAAAAGAAAGAUAUAUGUGAAAGUGCAGAACCUAAAUAGUUAGUCAGCGAAGUUAGAGGUGAGUCGGACACGGAAGAGGACAACGUUUGUAGUGAUGAGGAAGAGCAAUCGGAGAACGAAUGUUAUGAAUUUAGUAGCCCUGCUAGUGUUAAGUUGGAUCAAAGACUUUUUCAUCUGAAAAAUACGAGAAUCGAUGCAAGUGGUUGUAUUACAACUACCCGAACAGGGGAUACAUUUGUUAAGUCUGUGAGAUGUUUGGGAGGAAGGUUGGAAAAUUUACUACUGGCUGUUCUUUGGGUGACCAUCCAACAAGAGCGUUAGAGAGUCAUGCAGCAAGUGUUGCCCAUAAGGACGCAGAACAAGUUAAGAGUAGCAGAAAAAGAGGAAGUGCUAUUUCACUAAUCCUUGAAGAAAAAAUAGAGAGGAAAACAUUAAAUCGGAAUGUUAUUUUAAAAACUGUUUCAGUGUGCAAAUUUCAUGAUCCAUAAACGAUGGGCACUUUCUGAAAACUUCUCAGAUUUUGUGAAAUUUAUUGCCUCUUUAGGUGUUGAUGGUGUUCUAUGUCACAUAGAAACAACUCCCUAAACUGCAACUUACUUAUCUUCAUCUACUGUGACUGAACUCAUCGAAAUCUUGAGUGAACAUAUUGAAAAAAAAAUUCCUGACAUCUCUUAGAAAUGCUGACGCCUUCACUUUGCUUGCCGAUGAAAGUUGUGAUGAGGCUGGACGUGAACAGUUUGCCUUGUAUGGAAAGUGGGAAAAUGAAAUGGGCGAGAUCAAAGAACGAUUUUUAGGGGUCAUUCAUGUUCCAAACACGGACACUGAGUCAUUGCUCAACCAAAUAAACAUUUCAUGCUGGCAAAACACAUUCAAUUUAAAACAAUGCGAUUUAUGGCAUUUGAUGGAGCAAAUGUUAUGAGUGGAGAGAAGACAGGUGCCACAAGCUAGCUCUGUGCCUUAAACAUAUCAUGAAGAUCCCCUAGUUUGCUCUCCUUCAAGAGGUGGAUUCAGUUCUUCUUGGAUUGUGGAAAGUCUUUGAGUACAGUCCAAAGAAGUUCUGUGUUUUUAAGGACGUGUAAACUACAUAUGGCAACAGGUCACUGAAACUUAUUAGUGCUGCAACCACAAGGUUGUUAUCUCAUGGAGAUGCAUGCAGCAGAUUUGUGUCCAGGUUUUCGCAGAUACUUGAUGCCCUUGACAGUAUUUAUGAUGAUCGCAAAGAACCAGAGGUGUUUGGACUUAGAUGUGCAAAGUUGAGAAAGGAUGUAGUUGCCAUGAUAUAUUUGUUGUGUGAUGUACUUCAGAUUGUGAAUGCACUGAGUACUUUCCUUCAAAAUGAAAACCUGAACUUCACUGAUGUGCCUCACAAAGUUGAUAUUGCUGUCAACAAAUUGGAUAUAUUGAUAGAUCAGUUUGGUGAGAUAUGCAACAACAAGCAUCUCACUUUUUCAACAAUUGAUGAUGCUUUUGUACAAAUCAUUGACAGGACAAGUUUGCAAAGAAGAAUACGGGGUAAUCAAUUGAAUAAUGAUUACAGCUCAGAGAGUUUUUUUUAGGGAGACUGGCAUACCCUUCAUUUACAGACUAAUCGGUGAGAUUGACGAUGCUUUUAAUGUUUCACCUGUGGUGAAGGGUUGUGCGGUCCUGGAUCCUAGAAAUUUGCCAGAUCAGAUUGCAGAGUUGACAGAUCAUGGAGAGAUUGAUAUAAGGAAAUUGCCUGAAUUUUAUGGUUCCCCCAAGGAAGACGAGUUUCAGGGCCACAUAUGUAGAGUUCCGUGUGAUCUACAGUCCCCAGAAGCAGCAAUAGGUGAAUUUCGAGCCUUCCAAACUCAUACAUGUAUGUUUGUUGAAAGUUAGAGUUUCUUCUACAUCACAACACAGCAAAGAGGAAUCUGACCAGUGUCACAUGAUCAGGAGAGCAUAAUGCACAUUUAAUUCAUUUUAUAACUAGUUUAAACAUUAUUUUGGAAAGUAAUUCAAAUGAAAUGUAACUUUUUUUUGAUCAAUUGUUAUCAUAUUUCUGUUUAAAACGUUUGUUACCCUUUUCUUAUUCCAUAAAAUAAUAGCUAAUAUUACCACUUGCUUUUCUUGAUUCCUCCAAUUCUAUUAUGAAAGAAGAAUAUUGAGAUAAUAAAAAUUAUGUUUUACUAUAGCUGUAAUUUAAAAGUGUUUAUAAUGUUAAUGAUUUGUAAGAUCAUAUCUUGCAUUGAUAUUCAUUUUUAAGCCCUACAAACUUGCUGUAGAAUAUCAACAUGUUGAGUAUUCACAAUUGUUUCUGUAUUUUAUAUUUCUUGUUUCAGUCAACGUAUGAGACUGGGGAAAAGAAUGGACACAACAACACUUUACUCAUUGUGCAAGACCGAUGGUUUAGGUCAACUGUAUCCAAAUGUAGUGAAACUUAUUAAUUUUGCACUACUUAUACCAUGCUCAACCGCCUCUGUGGAGAGAGGAUUUAGCCUAAUGAACUCACUUUGCACAAUUCUAAGAAACAGACUAUCCCAGAAUUCUCUCGACUCACUGAUGAUAAUAUGUAAAGGAGAGAAAAAAUUGUCAGGUGAAGAUUUAAAUCAACUUAUUCAAAUGUUUAAAAACCAGACAAACAGAACAAUUGACUUGUAAAAGAAAAUAAAACAGUAC